UACGUAGGGUCCAAGCGUUAUCCGGAAUCACUGGGCGUAAAGCGUGCGUAGGUGGCGUGUUAAGUGUGAUGUUAAAUCGUGGGGCUCAACCCUGUCGGUGCAUCACAUACUGGCAUGCUAGAGGACAGCAGAGGCAAGUGGAAUUUGUAGUGUAGCAGUGAAAUGCGUAGAUAUUACAAGGAACACCAAUGCGAAGGCAGCUUGCUGGGCUACUCCUGACACUGAGGUACGAAAGCGUGGGGAGCGAACAGG
rnacentral:rRNA from 1 species